rnacentral:rRNA from 1 species
UGCGGUGAAUACGUUCCCGGGCCUUGCACACACCGCCCGUCACGUCAUGGGAGCUGGCAACGCCUGAAGCCGGUGGGCUAACCCGAAAGGGAGGCAGCCGUCGAAGGCGGGGCCGGUGACUGGGACGAAGUCGUAACAAGGUAGCCGUACGGGAACGUGCGGCUGGAUCACCUCCUUUCUAAGG